GUGAGAGUGCAGUGAGUGAGUGAUGGGUGUGAGAGUGCCGUGUGUGAGUGAUGGGUGUGAGAGUGCUGUGUGUGAGUGUUGGGUGUGAGAGUGCUGUGUGUGAGUGUGCUGUGUGUGUGAAGUUGCUGUGUGUGUGAGAGUGCUGUGUGUGUGAGAGUGCUGUGUGUGAGAGAGUGCUGUGAGAGAGAGUGCUGUGUGUGAUGGGUGAGAGAGUGCUGUGAGUGCUG